rnacentral:rRNA from 1 species
GACGAACGCUGGCGGCGUGCUUAACACAUGCAAGUCGAACGAAGUGGCGAACGGGUGAGUAACGCGUAAUCAACCUGCCCUUCCGCGGGGGACACCAGUUGGAAACGACUGCUAAUACCGCAUACUGAAGGAGGGGAUUGCGUCUGAUUAGCUAGUUGGAGGGGUAACGCCCCACCAAGGCGACGAUCCGUAGCUGGUGGGAGAGGAGGACCAGCCACACUGGGACUGAGACACGGCCCAGACUCCUACGGGAGGCAGCAGUGGGGAAUUUUGGACAAUGGGGGAAACCCUGAUCCAGCCAUCCCGCGUGUGUGAUGAAGGCCUUCGGGUUGUAAAGCACUUUUGGCAGGAAAGCGGUACCUGCAGAAUAAGCACCGGCUAACUACGUGCCAGCAGCCGCGGUAAUUC